CUCAUGUUCACAUAGUGUACCCUCUAGUGGCCACUUUGUGCAUGACGACUUAACCUCCCUUAUCAAAGUUGAGUGUAUCAAGGGUAGGAGUUGACCCACUGGUUCAAUCCGACUCUGAUUUUUGAAAAUUUGGAAUUGAGACCAAUUGAGAGAAGGCUUUUUUUUUUUUCUUGUUGGUAGAAGGCUGUAUUUGUAAAGCAUAAGCUCUGAAGCCACAGGCUCCGUAUUUUCCACACAAGGAAAGAAGAUUUAGAGUGAUACUAACUGCAAUAGAAGAUAAAUCUUCAAAUCUUAAUAGCUUAACGGAAUAGGUAGAACUUAACAGAUAGCACUUUACUUCUCAGUAACAUCAAGUCCAUGGUGGAGGAGGGAGGUGUUGAUGAUAGGGCAGGGGGCAUGCAGUUAUUCAGGGACCAAGCUCCUUUUAUCCUGUGGCUCCUAACCUCCUCCAAGGCUUUAGUUUUCAUCAUUCUGCCGGUAGAUUAGGAGAGAUAGAAAGUACAGAAUUUCAUGGGAGCUUAUAGGUCAGAAUUUGAAGUGGAAGCCAGAAGUGAGCUACGUGGUUACAUCUAAUGGCCCAUGUGGUCUAGUUACAUCCCCAGAAGAAAAAAAAGGAAUUUGCUGAACAACCAGCCAAUGCCUGCCACGUGGAAGAAACCAGUUGAUAGACAGCAAGAGGAAUGAACAGAUGGACUGAGAGGAAGAGAGGUAAAAUGAAAUCAGUCUGCAUUGUGCUUUUACACAUAAUCUUCUUGUUAUGACACCUGAGGAGCAAGAAGUGGAGAAUUCUUAAGCAAGGAGGUGGUCUUUGUUCUGCAUUUGGAAGGAGCUAAGCUUACUGCAGGUGUAAUGAAGGCAAGUGGAUGUCGGAAAGCGGUACAAACUUGUGUAAAAGUACGGAAGGAAAAGUGACAACUUGGUGUGCCUGGAGUGAAAGGUUUCUUUUUUGGAGAGAUUUACACCUCGCUAUCUUCUCUGGCUGGCUCAACCUGAAGGAUCCCAAUUUUGAAAGAAAAAGCAUGUGAUCAGCAUGGGAGUUUCGACCUGCUCCGUUUCCGACCUGGGCCAGUUCACCCCUCCUUAGGCAACCUGGUGGUCCCCGCUCCCAGGAGGUCACCAUAUUGAUGCCAAACUUAGUGCGGACACCCGAUACGCAUAGCACACUACAGCCCAGAACUCCUGGACUCAAGCGAUCCUCCAGCCUCAGCCUCCUGAGUAGCUGGGACUACAGGCACAAAGACCUAUUUAUGACAAACCCACAGCCAAUAUCACACUGAAUGGGCAAAAACUGGAAGCAUUCCCUUUGAAAACUGGCACAAGACAGGGAUGCCCUCUCUUACCACUCCUAUUCAACAUGGUGUUGGAAGUUCUGGUCAGGGCAAUCAGGCAGGAGAAAGAAAUAAAGGGUAUUCAAUUAGGAAAAGAGGAAGUCAAAUUGUCCCUGUUUGCAGAUGACAUGAUUGUAUAUUUAGAAAACCCCAUCGUCUCAGCCCAAAAUCUCCUUAAGCUGACAAGCGACUUCAGCAAAGUCUCAGGAUACAAAAUCAAUGUGCAAAAAUCACAAGCAUUCUUAUACACCAAUAACAGACAGAGAGCCAAAUCAUGAGUGAACUCCCAUUCACAAUUGCUUCAAAGAGAAUAAAAUACCUAGGAAUCCAACUUACAAAAGAGAACUACAAACCACUGCUCAACGAAAUAAAAGAGGACACAAACAAAUGGAAGAACAUUCCAUGCUCAUGGAUAGGAGAAUCAAUAUUGUGAAAAUGGCCUUACUGCCCAAGGUAAUUUAUAGAUUCAAUGCAUCCCCAUCAAGCUACCAAUGACUUUCUUCACAGAAUUGGAAAAAACUACUUUAAAGUUCAUAUGGAACCAAAAAAGAGCCCACAUUGCCAAGUCAAUCCUAAGCCAAAAGAACAAAGCUGGAGGCAUCACGCUACCUGACUUCAAACUAUGCUACAAGGCUAUAGUCACCAAAACAGCAUGGUACUGGUACCAAAACAGAGAUAGAGACCAAUGGAACAGAACAGAGCCCUCAGAAGUAAUGCCACACAUCUACAACCAUCUGAUCUUUGACAAACCUGACAAAAACAAGAAAUAGGGAAAGGAUUCCCUAUUUAACAAAUGGUGCUGGGAAAACUGGCUAACCAUAUGUAGAAAGCCGAAACUGGAUCCCUUCCUUACACCUUAUACCAAAAUUAAUUCGAGAUGGAUUAAAGACUUAAAUUUUAGACCUAAAACCAUAAAAAUCCUAGAAGAAAACCUAGGCAAUACCAUUCAGGA
rnacentral:lncRNA from 1 species